rnacentral:rRNA from 1 species
CUACGGGCGGCAGCAGUGGGGGAUAUUGGACAAUGGGCGAAAGCCUGAUCCAGCAAUGCCGCGUGAGUGAAGAAGGCCUUAGGGUUGUAAAGCUCUUUCACCCGAGACGAUGAUGACGGUACCGGGAGAAGAAGCCCCGGCUAACUCCGUGCCAGCAGCCGCGGUAAUGAGCGGAGGGGGCUAGCGUUGUUCGGAUUUACUGGGCGUAAAGCGCACGUAGGCGGCGCAAUUAGUCAGGGGUGAAAGGCCUGGGCUCAACCUGGGAACUGCCUUUGAUACUGUUGUGCUGGAGUCCGGGAGGGGGUGGCGGAAUUCCCAGUGUAGAGGUGAAAUUCGUAGAUAUUGGGAAGAACACCGGUGGCGAAGGCGGUCACCUGGCCCGGAACUGACGCUGAGGUGCGAAAGCGUGGGGAGCAAACAGGAUUAGAUACCCGCGUAGUC